UACGGAGGGUGCAAGCGUUAUCCGGAAUCAUUGGGUUUAAAGGGUCCGCAGGCGGACAUAUAAGUCAGUGGUGAAAGCCUACAGCUCAACUGUAGAACUGCCAUUGAUACUGUAUGUCUUGAAUUCGGUCGAAGUGGGCGGAAUAUGACAUGUAGCGGUGAAAUGCUUAGAUAUGUCAUAGAACACCGAUAGCGAAGGCAGCUCACUAGGCCUGGAUUGACGCUCAGGGACGAAAGCGUGGGGAGCAAACAGG
rnacentral:rRNA from 1 species